GCAUUCAGUUCGGGCACUCUAGCGAGACUGCCGGUAAUAAACCGGAGGAAGGUGGGGAUGACGUCAAAUCAUCAUGCCCCUUAUGACCUGGGCUACACACGUGCUACAAUGGUUGGUACAACGAGUUGCGAGUCGGUGACGGCGAGCUAAUCUCUUAAAGCCAAUCUCAGUUCGGAUUGUAGGGCUGGCAACUCGCCUACAUGAAGUCGGAAUCGCUAGUAAUCGCGGAUCAGCACGCCGCGGUGAAUACCGUUCCCGGGCCUU
rnacentral:rRNA from 1 species